GAUCCCUUAGUUCAGUCGGUUCAGAACGCUUGCUUGACAGGCAAGAGGUCGGCAGUUCGAAUCUGCCAGGGAUCA
rnacentral:tRNA from 1 species